AUUGAACGCUGGCGGCAGGCCUAACACAUGCAAGUCGAACGAGUGGCGGACGGGUGAGUAAUGUCUGGGAACCUGCCUGAUGGAGGGGGAUAACUACUGGAAACGGUAGCUAAUACCGCAUACCAUCAGAUUUGCCCAGACGUGAUUUGCUUGAUGGUGGGGUAACGGCUCACCAGGGCGACGAUCCCUAGCUGGUCUGAGAGUAUGACCAGCCACACUGGAACUGAGACACGGUCCAGACUCCUACGGGAGGCAGCAGUGGUGAAUAUUGCGCAAUGGGCGCAAGCCUGAUGCAGCCAGGCCGCGUGAAUGAAGAAGGCUUUCGGGUUGUAAAGUACUUUCAGCGGGGAGGCGUUACCCGCAGAAGAAGCACCGGCUAACUCCGUGCCAGCAGCCGCGGUAAUAC
rnacentral:rRNA from 1 species